GAAAGUAAACAAGGGCGCAUGGAGGAUGCCUAGGCUCUCGGAGGCGAAGAAGGACGUGAUAAGCUGCGAAAAGUUACGGUAAGGCGCAAAUAGCCCUAGACCCGUAAAUAUCCGAAUGGGGCAACCCGGCCAGCAAUGGCCAUACCGCCAAGCGGUAAGCCAACGCGGGGAACUGAAACAUCUAAGUACCCGCAGGAAAAGAAAAUAACAAUGAUUCCGCCAGUAGUGGCGAGCGAACGCGGAACAGCCCAAACCACUCGUGUUACGGCACGAGUGGGGUAGAAGGAUCCACGCUACGGCAAGAAAUAAGUUAGCGGAAUACGAUGGAAAUCGUAGCCAAAGACGGUGACAGCCCGGUACGCGAAAACCGACAGAAGCCCAGUGGACACCUGAGUAACCCAGGACACGAGAAAUCCGGGGCGAAUCAGCGGGGCCCAUCCCGUAAGGCUAAAUACUCCCGAGAGACCGAUAGCGAACCAGUACUGUGAAGGAAAGGUGAAAAGAACCUCGAACAGAGGAGUGAAACAGACCCUGAAACCAUGCGCCUACAAGCGGUCGGAGCAUGUUAAAAUGUGACGGCGUGCCUUUUGCAUAAUGAACCUACGAGUUACUCUCGCUGGCAAGGUUAAGCGAUUCAGUCGCGCAGCCGAAGCGAAAGCAAGUCCGAACAAGGCGUACAGUCAGCGGGAGUAGACGCGAAACCAAGUGAUCUACCCUUGGUCAGGUUGAAGGUUGGGUAACACCAACUGGAGGACCGCACCGAUAAGCGUUGAAAAGCUUACGGAUGAACUGAGGGUAGGAGUGAAAGGCCAAUCAAACUUGGAGAUAGCUCGUACUCCCCGAAAUGCAUUUAGGUGCAGCCUCGAAGCAGAGUGAUAGAGGUAGAGCGACUGAUAAGAUGCGAGGGCUUCACCGCCUAUCAAGUCUUGACAAACUCCGAAUACUAUCACUUGAUCUUCGGGAGUGAGGGCAUGGGUGCUAAGGUCCAUGUCCGAAAGAGGAACAACUCAGACCACCGGCUAAGGUCCCGAAAUAAGGGCUAAGUUGAACAAACGAAGUAAAACUGCAAAGACAGCUAGGAUGUUGGCUUGGAAGCAGCCAUUCAUUUAAAGAGUGCGUAACAGCUCACUAGUCGAGGAGUUUUGCAUGGAUAAUAAUCGGGCAUAAGCCCUUUACCGAAGCUGUGGAUGUCGUAAGACAUGGUAGGGGAGCAUUCCGGCGGCGACGAAGGCCGUCCUCGAGGACGACUGGAGCUUUCGGAAAAGCAAAUGUAGGUAUAAGUAACGAUAAAGGGGGCGCGAAACCCCCUCGCCAUAAGACUAAGGAUUCCUGAUCAACGCUAAUCGGAUCAGGGUAAGUCGGGCCCUAAGGCGCAGCCGAACGGCGCAGCCGAUGGAAGAAACGGUAAAGAUUCCGUUACUGGAUAUAGGAGCGAUGUGGAGACGGAGAAGUGACACACCCGCCUGCCGACGGAAGCGCAGGUUAAAGGAAGUAGGUAAACGCCGGGUAGGCAAAUCCGCCUGGCGUGCCGAAGCUGACAGUAUCGAGAGCCCCCGGGCAAUCGAAUAGCGGUGGUAAUCAGGCUCCCAAGAAAAUCCGCUAAGCAUAUUCUAUAUCCACCCGUACCCCAAACGGACACACGUAGUCGGGUAGAAUAUACCAAGGCGCUCGAAAGACUCACGGUUAAGGAACUAGGCAAAUUGACCCUGUAACCUCGGGAAAAAGGGUCCCCAGUAAGAUGGGGCGCAGAGAAUAGGUCCAGGCAACUGUUUAACAAAAACACAGGGCUGUGCAAAAUUUCAAGAUGAAGUAUACAGCCUGACACCUGCCCGGUGCCGGAAGGUUAAGAGGAGAGCUUAUCGCAAGAGAAGGCUUGAAUUGAAGCCCCGGUAAACGGCGGCCGUAACUAUAACGGUCCUAAGGUAGCGAAAUUCCUUGUCGG
rnacentral:rRNA from 1 species